rnacentral:rRNA from 1 species
CUUGCAAGGGGUACUCGAGUGGCGAACGGGUGAGUAACACGUGGGUGAUCUGCCUUGCACUUCGGGAUAACCCUGGGAAACUGGGUCUAAUACCGGAUAGGACCAUGCUUUAGUGUGUGUGGUGGAAAGUUUUUUCGGUGCAAGAUGAGCCCGCGGCCUAUCAGCUUGUUGGUGGGGUAAUGGCCUACCAAGGCGACGACGGGUAGCCGGCCUGAGAGGGUGUACGGCCACAUUGGGACUGAGACACGGCCCAGACUCCUACGGGAGGCAGCAGUGGGGAAUAUUGCACAAUGGGCGCAAGCCUGAUGCAGCGACGCCGCGUGGGGGAUGACGGCCUUCGGGUUGUAAACUCCUUUCGCUAGGGAAGAAGCCACUGUGUGGUGACGGUACCUGGAUAAGAAGCACCGGCUAACUACGUGCCAGCAGCCGCGGUAAUACGUAGGGUGCGAGCGUUGUCCGGAAUUACUGGGCGUAAAGAGCUCGUAGGUGGUUUGUCGCGUCGUCUGUGAAAUCCCGGGGCUUAACUUCGGGCGUGCAGGCGAUACGGGCAUAACUAGAGUGCUGUAGGGGAGACUGGAAUUCCUGGUGUAGCGGUGAAAUGCGCAGAUAUCAGGAGGAACACCGAUGGCGAAGGCAGGUCUCUGGGCAGUUACUGACGCUGAGGAGCGAAAGCAUGGGUAGCGAACAGGAUUAGAUACCCUGGUAGUCCAUGCCGUAAACGGUGGGCGCUAGGUGUGGGGGUUUUAUUUACGAUUCCCGUGCCGUAGCUACGCAUUAAGCGCCCCGCCUGGGAUACGCC